CUACGGGAGGCAGCAGUGGGGAAUAUUGCACAAUGGGGGAAACCCUGAUGCAGCCAUGCCGCGUGUGUGAAGAAGGCCCUUGGGUUGUAAAGCUCUUUCGUCGGGGAAGAAAAUGACUGUACCCGAAUAAGGAGGUCCGGCUAACUUCGUGCCAGCAGCCGCGGUAAUACGGAGGGGGUUAGCGUUGUUCGGAAUUACUGGGCGUAAAGCGCGCGUAGGCGGAUUGGAAAGUUAGAGGUGAAAUCCCGGGGCUCAACCCCGGAACGGCCUUUAAAACUCCCAGUCUAGAGUUCGAGAGAGGUGAGUGGAAUUCCAAGUGUAGAGGUGAAAUUCGUAGAUAUUUGGAGGAACACCAGUGGCGAAGGCGGCUCACUGGCUCGAUACUGACGCUGAGGUGCGAAAGUGUGGGGAGCAAACAGGAUUAGAUACCCUGGUAGUCCACACCGUAAACGAUGAAUGCCAGUCGUCGGAUAGUAUACUAUUCGGUGACACACCUAACGGAUUAAGCAUUCCGCCUGGGGAGUACGGUCGCAAGAUUAAAACUCAAAU
rnacentral:rRNA from 1 species